rnacentral:rRNA from 1 species
UACGUAGGGUGCAAGCGUUAAUCGGAAUUACUGGGCGUAAAGCGUGCGCAGGCGGUGAUGUAAGACAGUUGUGAAAUCCCCGGGCUCAACCUGGGAACUGCAUCUGUGACUGCAUCGCUGGAGUACGGUAGAGGGGAUGGAAUUCCGCGUGUAGCAGUGAAAUGCGUAGAUAUGCGGAGGAACACCGAUGGCGAAGGCAAUCCCCUGGACCUGUACUGACGCUCAUGCACGAAAGCUAGGGGAGCAAACAGG